AUUCAUUUAUGUUUCAUAUAUACCUUAUGCAUAUAUAUAUUAUAUAUUACUUUAAAUAAUUUUAUUCAUAAAACAAAAUUUCAUAAUGUGGAAUAACUUACAUGUGAUGUCUUGUUGGUGUUCAAAAAAGUUAAGAUUCUGAAACAUUUCAGAUUUCUGCUUUUUAGAUAAGGGAUGCCCAACAUAUACUUUUGUACGUGAGACCAGCAGCUUUAGCAUCCUCUGUACUCUCACUAAAAAAAAAAAAAAAAAAAAAAAUUCUUGGGCCCCAUCUCAGACUUAUCCAAAUCAAAGAUGUUGUGUCCUCCAAAAACCAAAAAAAAAAUUAAAAUUCUCUCUCUCUCUCUCUCUCUCUCUCUCUCUCUCCCCUCCCUCUCUCUCUGUCUCUCUCUCUAGGAAAAAAAAAUAACUUUGGGUUUAGGACCCAAUGAUCUGUUUUAACAAGCUCUUUAGGUGAUUCUGAUGUACCCAAAUUUUGAAAACUACUGAGCUAAACGGACUUCUGCUUAACCAAGUUAUAGAAAUGGGCUGGAGAAGGUGAUACAUACAGCUCCACUGAAGAGAGAGGAGAGACCAAGACUUUGAUCCUUACACUGAUCAAAAAGACACCAGGAAAGUAGUUUGGGACUGAUAUGGGAAUGAGUCCCUGGAACUAAUUUUCGUUCUGGUAUUCCUAGAUGAAAAUAUCUGCAAAUUGUAAAGAUUUCUCAACUACUAAUAAUCACAAAACUAUAUUUAAUAAUUUUUGUAUUACCUGAUGUUUUUCUGCUAAUAUUUUUC
rnacentral:lncRNA from 1 species